ACUGCCUCGCCCCUGCGCGGGGCCGCCUUGACCCAGGCCUUCCAGGUCCGGUGCUCGCUCCUAUUGGCAUUCGCUGGGCCCUUCCGAUCGGUUCGCCUCACUGCAGACAGCGUGACAUUUUCAGACUGAGUUUUGCUCUUGUUGCCCAGGUUGGAGUGUAAUGGCACACUCUCGGCUCACUGCAACCUCUGCCUCCAGGAUUCAAGCAAUUCUCCUGCCUCAGCCUCCAAGUAGCUGGGAUUACAGGUUAGGCCUUCCCAAGUUCCCAGCAAUCUGAGACUUACCUGUCUGUUGGAAAAGAGCCUGAGCAAAGAGCAAGUGCUUCUUCCAUUGGAUCACCCACGCUGCUCUCCUUCUCCUGUUUAUUUAACUCUGAUGAGCCUGGAGUGGAGGCAUCUACAACACAACAAGGAUAAGAUGUGUGUCACCAAGGAAUGACAGCUUUAUACUCUUUUCUCAGCGAUCUAAAGUCAUGCCAGCUCGACACAGUUCUAAGAAGAGAAAGCACAGAUGGAGUGACAGAAGCUCACUUAUUUUUAAACAAAAUUAAGCGGUACCCAGCACCAUUCCCACCCACAGAAACACAAAACUACCUACCCAUCUGCAUCCAACAGUUGGCUCUGAG